rnacentral:rRNA from 1 species
UGCAGUAGAACGCUGAAGAGAGGAGCUUGCUCUUCUUGGAUGAGUUGCGAACGGGUGAGUAACGCGUAGGUAACCUGCCUUGUAGCGGGGGAUAACUAUUGGAAACGAUAGCUAAUACCGCAUAACAAUGGAUGACACAUGUCAUUUAUUUGAAAGGGGCAAUUGCUCCACUACAAGAUGGACCUGCGUUGUAUUAGCUAGUAGGUGAGGUAAUGGCUCACCUAGGCGACGAUACAUAGCCGACCUGAGAGGGUGAUCGGCCACACUGGGACUGAGACACGGCCCAGACUCCUACGGGAGGCAGCAGUAGGGAAUCUUCGGCAAUGGGGGCAACCCUGACCGAGCAACGCCGCGUGAGUGAAGAAGGUUUUCGGAUCGUAAAGCUCUGUUGUAAGUCAAGAACGGGUGUGAGAGUGGAAAGUUCACACUGUGACGGUAGCUUACCAGAAAGGGACGGCUAACUACGUGCCAGCAGCCGCGGUAAUACGUAGGUCCCGAGCGUUGUCCGGAUUUAUUGGGCGUAAAGCGAGCGCAGGCGGUUUGAUAAGUCUGAAGUUAAAGGCUGUGGCUCAACCAUAGUUCGCUUUGGAAACUGUCAAACUUGAGUGCAGAAGGGGAGAGUGGAAUUCCAUGUGUAGCGGUGAAAUGCGUAGAUAUAUGGAGGAACACCGGUGGCGAAAGCGGCUCUCUGGUCUGUAACUGACGCUGAGGCUCGAAAGCGUGGGGAGCGAACAGGAUUAGAUACCCUGGUAGUCCACGCCGUAAACGAUGAGUGCUAGGUGUUGGAUCCUUUCCGGGAUUCAGUGCCGCAGCUAACGCAUUAAGCACUCCGCCUGGGGAGUACGACCGCAAGGUUGAAACUCAAAGGAAUUGACGGGGGCCCGCACAAGCGGUGGAGCAUGUGGUUUAAUUCGAAGCAACGCGAAGAACCUUACCAGGUCUUGACAUCCCGAUGCUAUUUCUAGAGAUAGAAAGUUACUUCGGUACAUCGGUGACAGGUGGUGCAUGGUUGUCGUCAGCUCGUGUCGUGAGAUGUUGGGUUAAGUCCCGCAACGAGCGCAACCCCUAUUGUUAGUUGCCAUCAUUCAGUUGGGCACUCUAGCGAGACUGCCGGUAAUAAACCGGAGGAAGGUGGGGAUGACGUCAAAUCAUCAUGCCCCUUAUGACCUGGGCUACACACGUGCUACAAUGGUUGGUACAACGAGUUGCGAGUCGGUGACGGCGAGCUAAUCUCUUAAAGCCAAUCUCAGUUCGGAUUGUAGGCUGCAACUCGCCUACAUGAAGUCGGAAUCGCUAGUAAUCGCGGAUCAGCACGCCGCGGUGAAUACGUUCCCGGGCCUUGUACACACCGCCCGUCACACCACGAGAGUUUGUAACACCCGAAGUCGGUGAGGUAACCUUUUGGAGCCAGCCGCCU